rnacentral:rRNA from 1 species
GAUGAACGCUGGCGGCGUGCCUAAUACAUGCAAGUCGAGCGAACGGACGAGAAGCUUGCUUCUCUGAUGUUAGCGGCGGACGGGUGAGUAACACGUGGAUAACCUACCUAUAAGACUGGGAUAACUUCGGGAAACCGGAGCUAAUACCGGAUAAUAUUUUGAACCGCAUGGUUCAAAAGUAAAAGACGGUCUUGCUGUCACUUAUAGAUGGAUCCGCGCUGCAUUAGCUAGUUGGUAAGGUAACGGCUUACCAAGGCAACGAUGCAUAGCCGACCUGAGAGGGUGAUCGGCCACACUGGAACUGAGACACGGUCCAGACUCCUACGGGAGGCAGCAGUAGGGAAUCUUCCGCAAUGGCCGAAAGCCUGACGGAGCAACGCCGCGUGAGUGAUGAAGGUCUUCGGAUCGUAAAACUCUGUUAUUAGGGAAGAACAUAUGUGUAAGUAACUGUGCACAUCUUGACGGUACCUAAUCAGAAAGCCACGGCUAACUACGUG